rnacentral:rRNA from 1 species
UACGUAGGGUGCAAGCGUUGUCCGGAAUUAUUGGGCGUAAAGAGCUCGUAGGCGGUCUGUUGCGUCGGCUGUGAAAACCCGGGGCUCAACCCCGGGCCUGCAGCCGAUACGGGCAGACUAGAGUUCGGCAGGGGAGACUGGAAUUCCUGGUGUAGCGGUGAAAUGCGCAGAUAUCAGGAGGAACACCGGUGGCGAAGGCGGCGACCUGGGUCGAGACUGACGCUGAGGCGCGAAAGCGUGGGGAGCAAACAGG